AAAACUUCAAUGAAUACUAAAUUGAUUUAGCACGCUAUAAAAGAGACCACGACAGCUUGACGUUAUUCAAUUGCAAUUUUCGUUUAUCUAAAAGAGUUACUCUAAAGAAAUAUCUGCUGUUAUCUGUGCAAAGGCGAAAGAUCUCGAGGACCUAGAAUAAACCAUGAGGAACACCGUUGUGCUUAUCCUGCUUUGUGCGUUGGUUUGGAAUUGUGUAAGUGCAGGUGCGGACCCUGAGAUGCAAGAUAAAGAGACGAAGAAUGGGAAGUGCACUUAUAAAGGAAAGGAAUAUUCUUCCGGAGAGUACUUUGGAAUUAACAAGUCGUGCUUUUGCGAGAAUGGAAUACGACUUUGUCCUAAAACUGCAAUAAUUGGUUAAAUGCUUUAGGGCCUUUGGUGCAAUAGCCCAAUUUCUAGUUCCACUAUGACCGCUGGUCUUACAGACUAAGGACGCAUGAAAACAGUGUAAGCCUCGACUUGAGGCAAAUUUUAUGCGCAUAGCAGCGAGAAUCCUCUGGAACUUGGGGUAAAACAAUGUAAAAACCCAUGAAUACACCAUGAUCUCGCUGGUGGUGCCUAUGACUAGCAGGCACAUUGGAACUCGAAACUGGACUAUUAGGUAUAUCCAACACCAAUAACUAUGUUUAACGAAUGUAUUAAUGCUGUUCUUAGAAACAAAUAAAGCAAACACUAAUCCGGUA